CACGGUCCCGACAGCAGAACAGGUGUCCCACUGGGCUGGCACUUGGCACCCUUACUCGGCCUUCCGCUCUGCCAUGCACCCAACACUCCCCCCCCAGCUGGAAGAUAACAGGUUUAACAUAAGGAAAGGUUUAACAUAAGGAAAGGACAGAUACCUGGCCUGUUCCAAGCAACCUGAACACCCCUGAGAAAGACACCGGCAAAUGUCGCAGCCAUUAGCAGGUGCUGAUCUUGGCAGUCAGCCUGUAUCACGCCACCCUUAUCAGCACAUUUGGAUCAUGCCCCUUUAUCUCUGACAACUUCUGCGAGAGACACGGGACUAUAAAAUGAGAUGCAGCUUUGCUUCUGACAGUUCACAGGCAAGAGAAGGAGGAGAGACACCUUCCAGAAACGUCCGCCUAUCAACAGAGACCCAUCGACACUGGCUAAGGUAUCAGUUGCCAAGAUGCUGACCCUCUGGGCCCUGGUCAUCACGAUGACCGUCCAGGCAGGAGCACUUGACCUGCAGACUUCAUCUUUACUGCUGGGAAAUCUUCCUGUCAAUCAAUUAGCCACUGAGGCUUUCAGAAAAGCCCCUCUCGAUCUAACUGGAAGACGGCUCAGUAGUCCCCAGAGAACCCCUCCAUUCAGAAAACGUCAAGCUAGGACCCCAGGAGGCAGGUGUCUACCCGUGGCCAAGUACUUACUGUCCCAAAGCAAACUUGAAGAAUAUAUGAACACCACCUUGCCCCCAAAGAUCCAGAAGAAGCUGAUGUGUGAGAAGGUACUUCUGUCUGGUACAAUUGGAAAAGUGCUAUCCACGGUGACUAACUCCGACCUACUGUCUAUAUUAGACAUCACUUCAGCCCUCAACUUACCUGGAGGUGAUGCUCUUGGUGGCAUCCUGGGCAAAGGAAGUGGUGGCCUGACCUCUCAGCUCCCACUGCCAUCACUCUCAAAAGUCACUGACACCCUCAGUAUCGCAGGGGAUCUGGGCAGC